UACAGAGGUCCCGAGCGUUGUUCGGAUUCAUUGGGCGUAAAGGGUGCGUAGGCGGUCUGCUAAGUUUGAUGUGAAAUCCCGGGGCUCAACCCUGGAAUGGCAUUGAAUACUGGUGGACUAGAGUACUGGAGAGGAAACUGGAAUUUACGGUGUAGCAGUGAAAUGCGUAGAGAUCGUAAGGAAGACCAGUGGCGAAGGCGAGUUUCUGGACAGUAACUGACGGCUGAGGCACGAAGGCCAGGGGAGCAAACGGG
rnacentral:rRNA from 1 species